GGGAAUUAAAGUCAAUAAGAAUCCUAUCACUAAAUAUUUCCUCUUUCUCCCUCAUGCUUAGUUCGUUCCUCUCUCUCAAUGGUUAUUAAAAUGAAAGAGAGAGAAAUCAAAUCAGACUCCAUCUCUCUCUUGGAAUUUCGAUUGUCUUCCCCAACCCUUCUCACCAGAGCAUAGCGGUGGCCAGCGGCAUCGCCGCUGCCUUCUAUGGUAGCUCUUCAAAUCAAAACCCUAAGACCUAAACACGACCCCCACCAAUUUUUGUUGUAGAUUUCGAAUCCGUCCUCUAAAAUAAAAAAAAUCAACUAUUCUUCCGGAUCGAGAGAGAACUAAAACCCUAACCUAACAAAUUACCAAUUAACGACCUAAACAUAAAAAAGACCUCCAUUCAAAGUGAGACAAAUAAUAAGUAGUAAGGAAAAGAAUGUAAUGCACGAAGACAGAGGCGAAAAUGACCUCGACAGAGUUUUGAGACUCCGAAGAGGUUCUCCGACCAACCUCGAAGGUAAACGGUUAUGGAUCUCCCUCUCUCUGAUUUAAUCCGCUUCAACUUCUUUUUGGACGAUUUUUGUUUCCUCUGAGAUGAAAGACUGUCUUUUAUGGAUGAGGGUUUUUUCGACUGCUAUGGUUUUUUAACGAGUUUUUUGGUGUGACUGUUGGGAUUUUUUUAUUCUUGAUGGUUUCUAGUUUGUUUGAAGGUUCUUAGUUUUUUUUUAUCUGAUCUUUGGUGGUUUUGUAACUCUUUAUCUCAGACGUUUUUUUUAGUUUUUUUGUUGUCCUUUCUUUAAGAAAAGAACUUCAAUUUAUACUAAUUUUCCAUGCUUUGGAUUAGGAUUUGUAGUAGUUGUUGUUCAUUGACAUAAUUGGAUAUAAAGUUGGUUACUUUUGAAGUGUGAGAGUUUGUUUUGAUCAACUAGUAUAAACCUCUGUUAUAUUUGAAAUUGUGAUAGCCUGUAUUUUCUUUCUUCAUAUUUUGGCUCUUUGCUUUGUCUCUUUGCUUUGCUUUGUAUCUUAUUCUGAAAUGGUGUUAACUUGAUGCUCUGUUUUACAGCAGGUACAAGACAAAAUUCUGCUCCACAAGUGUACUAUGGUUAAGGUGUAGAGAUGGUAGAAUGGCCUAGUAAAUUCAAGCCUUGAGAGAUCAACUUUUUUUUUUGUACUUAUUCUCUUUUUUUUAAUGUAGUUUGUUACUGUAAAAACUUGUACCUUAUUAUAAUGUAAAAACUUAUAUUUAUAUAUUUUUUAAAUCUUUUUAUUUAUUUGUG
rnacentral:lncRNA from 1 species